rnacentral:rRNA from 1 species
UUUAUAAAGAGUUUGAUCCUGGCUCAGGACGAACGCUGGCGGCGCGCCUAACACAUGCAAGUCGAACGAGAGAUGAGGAGCUUGCUCUUCAAAUCGAGUGGCGAACGGGUGAGUAACGCGUGAGGAACCUGCCUCAAAGAGGGGGACAACAGUUGGAAACGACUGCUAAUACCGCAUAAGCCCACAGCUCGGCAUCGAGCAGGGGGAAAAGGAGCGAUCCGCUUUGAGAUGGCCUCGCGUCCGAUUAGCUAGUUGGUGAGGUAACGGCCCACCAAGGCGACGAUCGGUAGCCGGACUGAGAGGUUGAACGGCCACAUUGGGACUGAGACACGGCCCAGACUCCUACGGGAGGCAGCAGUGGGGAAUAUUGCACAAUGGGGGAAACCCUGAUGCAGCGACGCCGCGUGGAGGAAGAAGGUCUUCGGAUUGUAAACUCCUGUUGUUGAGGAAGAUAAUGACGGUACUCAACAAGGAAGUGACGGCUAACUACGUGCCAGCAGCCGCGGUAAAACGUAGGUCACAAGCGUUGUCCGGAAUUACUGGGUGUAAAGGGAGCGCAGGCGGGAGAACAAGUUGGAAGUGAAAUCCAUGGGCUCAACCCAUGAACUGCUUUCAAAACUGUUUUUCUUGAGUAGUGCAGAGGUAGGCGGAAUUCCCGGUGUAGCGGUGGAAUGCGUAGAUAUCGGGAGGAACACCAGUGGCGAAGGCGGCCUACUGGGCACCAACUGACGCUGAGGCUCGAAAGUGUGGGUAGCAAACAGGAUUAGAUACCCUGGUAGUCCACACCGUAAACGAUGAUUACUAGGUGUUGGAGGAUUGACCCCUUCAGUGCCGCAGUUAACACAAUAAGUAAUCCACCUGGGGAGUACGACCGCAAGGUUGAAACUCAAAGGAAUUGACGGGGGCCCGCACAAGCAGUGGAGUAUGUGGUUUAAUUCGACGCAACGCGAAGAACCUUACCAAGUCUUGACAUCCCUUGACGAUGCUGGAAACAGCAUUUCUCUUCGGAGCAAGGAGACAGGUGGUGCAUGGUUGUCGUCAGCUCGUGUCGUGAGAUGUUGGGUUAAGUCCCGCAACGAGCGCAACCCUUAUGGUCAGUUACUACGCAAGAGGACUCUGGCCAGACUGCCGUUGACAAAACGGAGGAAGGUGGGGAUGACGUCAAAUCAUCAUGCCCUUUAUGACUUGGGCUACACACGUACUACAAUGGCGUUAAACAAAGAGAAGCAAGACCGCGAGGUGGAGCAAAACUCAGAAACAACGUCCCAGUUCGGACUGCAGGCUGCAACUCGCCUGCACGAAGUCGGAAUUGCUAGUAAUCGUGGAUCAGCAUGCCACGGUGAAUACGUUCCCGGGCCUUGUACACACCGCCCGUCACACCAUGAGAGCCGGGGGGACCCGAAGUCGGUAGUCUAACCGCAAGGAGGACGCCGCCGAAGGUAAAACUGGUGAUUGGGGUGAAGUCGUAACAAGGUAGCCGUAGGAGAACCUGCGGCUGGAUCACCUCCUUUCUAAGGA